rnacentral:rRNA from 1 species
CCUACGGGAGGCAGCAGUGGGGAAUAUUGCACAAUGGGGGAAACCCUGAUGCAGCGACGCCGCGUGAGUGAGGAAGUAUUUCGGUAUGUAAAGCUCUAUCAGCAGGGAAGAAAAUGACGGUACCUGACUAAGAAGCCCCGGCUAACUACGUGCCAGCAGCCGCGGUAAUACGUAGGGGGCAAGCGUUAUCCGGAUUUAUUGGGUUUAAAGGGUGCGCAGGCGGCGAGUUAAGUCAGCGGUAAAAUUUCGGGGCUCAACCCCGACGAGCCGUGGAAACUGGCGUGCAAGAGUGGGGGAGAAGUAUG